rnacentral:rRNA from 1 species
GACGAACGCUGGCGGCGUGCCUAAUACAUGCAAGUAGAACGCACAGUUUAUACCGUAGCUUGCUACACCAUAGACUGUGAGUUGCGAACGGGUGAGUAACGCGUAGGUAACCUGCCUGGUAGCGGGGGAUAACUAUUGGAAACGAUAGCUAAUACCGCAUAAUAUUAAUUAUUGCAUGAUAAUUAAUUGAAAGGUGCAAUUGCACCACUACCAGAUGGACCUGCGUUGUAUUAGCUAGUAGGUGAGGUAACGGCUCAACUAGGCGACGAUACAUAGCCGACCUGAGAGGGUGAUCGGCCAACCUGGGAAUGAGACACGGCCCAGACUCCUACGGGAGGCAGCAGUAGGGAAUCUUCGGCAAUGGACGAAAGUCUGACCGGGCAACGCCGCGUGAGUGAAGAAGGUUUUCGGAUCGUAAAGCUCUGUUGUAAGAGAAGAACGGGUGUGAGAGUGGAAAGUUCACACUGUGACGGUAUCUAACCAGAAAGGGACGGCUAACUACGUG